UACGAAGGGGGCUAGCGUUGUUCGGAUUUACUGGGCGUAAAGCGCACGUAGGCGGAUCUUUAAGUCAGAGGUGAAAUCCCAAGGCUCAACCUUGGAACUGCCUUUGAUACUGGGAAGCUCGAGUCCGGGAGAGGUGAGUGGAACUGCGAGUGUAGAGGUGAAAUUCGUAGAUAUUCGCAAGAACACCAGUGGCGAAGGCGGCUCACUGGCCCGGUACUGACGCUGAGGUGCGAAAGCGUGGGGAGCAAACAGG
rnacentral:rRNA from 1 species